rnacentral:rRNA from 1 species
CCUACGGUGGGCAGCAGUGGGGAAUAUUGCACAAUGGGGGAAACCCUGAUGCAGCGACGCCGCGUGAGUGAAGAAGUAUUUCGGUAUGUAAAGCUCUAUCAGCAGGGAAGAAAAUGACGGUACCUGACUAAGAAGCCCCGGCUAACUACGUGCCAGCAGCCGCGGUAAUACGUAGGGGGCAAGCGUUAUCCGGAUUUACUGGGUGUAAAGGAAGCGGAGGUGGCAUGGUCAGCCAGAAGUGAAAACCCAGGGCUCAACUGUGUGUAUUGCUUUUGGAACUAUCAAGCUAGAGGGCUGGAGGGGUAAGCGGAAUUCCUGGUGUAGCGGUGAAAUGCGUAGAUAUUAGGAGGAACACCGGUGGCGAAGGCGGCUUACCGGACAGAAACUGACACUGAGGAUCGAAAGCGUGGGGAGCAAACAGGAUUAGAUACCCUAGUAGUC